rnacentral:rRNA from 1 species
AUUGAACGCUGGCGGCAGGCCUAACACAUGCAAGUCGGGCGAGAGGCGGACGGGUGAGUAAUGUAUGGGGAACUGCCUGAUGGAGGGGGAUAACUACUGGAAACGGUAGCUAAUACCGCAUACUAUCGGAUGAACCCAUAUGGGAUUAGCUAGUAGGGGGGGUAAAGGCUCACCUAGUGGACGAUCUCUAGCUGGUCUGAGAGGAUGAUCCGCCACACUGGAACUGAGAAACGGCCCAGACGCCUACGGGAGGCAGCAGUGGGGAAUAUUGCACAAUGGGCGCAAGCCUGAUGCAGCCAUGCCGCGUGUAUGAAGAAGGCCUUAGGGUUGUAAAGUACUUUCAGCGGGGAGGCGUUACCCGCAGAAGAAGCACCGGCUAACUCCGUGCCAGCAGCCGCGGUAAUUC